rnacentral:tRNA from 1 species
GGCCCUGUAGCUCAAUUGAAUAGAGCAUUGGAUUUCGGCUCCAACGGUUGGGGGUUUGAAUCCCUCCAGGGUCA